AUUGAACGCUGGCGGCAUGCCUUACACAUGCAAGUCGAACGGCAGCACGGGAGCAAUCCUGGUGGCGAGUGGCGAACGGGUGAGUAAUAUAUCGGAACGUGCCCGGUCGUGGGGAUAACGUAGCGAAAGCUACGCUAAUACCGCAUACGAUCUACGGAUGAAAGCGGGGGAUCGCAAGACCUCGCGCGAUUGGAGCGGCCGAUAUCAGAUUAGGUAGUUGGUGAGGUAAAGGCUCACCAAGCCGACGAUCUGUAGCUGGUCUGAGAGGACGACCAGCCACACUGGGACUGAGACACGGCCCAGACUCCUACGGAGGCAGCAGUGGGGAAUUUUGGACC
rnacentral:rRNA from 1 species